GAAGCCCAAGAUUAAAGAUCCAAUAUGGUGACGAAACUUCAGCUUUAAGAGGUUAAAAGACUUGUCCAGAGUCAUGUUAACAGGUAAAUCUACUGUGAAUGUUAUGAGCCAAGCCCAGAUCACCAACUUCAAACAGAAUUGGAGGUACCUGUAGAGAGUUACGCUGGCAGACAGGCUUUUACUAAAGCCAGCAGAGCAGAGCUACAGCUUCAGACACAGCCAAGUAUAAUGCUCUUGCUUCAUGAAGCCAAACAGCCACUUUCUUCUCUGGAAUGUUAAUCUGCUCUUAUUGGAGUUAGCAACCCCAGGAGGAUCGCUUCCUGAUUUGUCUUAUCCAGAAAAAAAAAAAACAAAAAAACCUCCUCUUUCCCACCUCUGGAGUGCUGUGAAUACUCAGAAGGGAUAGACACAUCACCACUGAGAAUUCCCACAUUUCCUUAUGCUGCUGCUCUAAGAGGAUAUGAAAGAUUCUGUUUUAAUCUAAACAAAAACUGAAAAGGGAAGAGGCAAAUUUUUGUGUUGAUGCACAUUUUCUUUCUCAUAUUUAGCUAAAAUUUACCUCUAAUUACUCCUUUAAGAAAUAAAUGAGUUAGGCAUAAUGUCUUCCAAUGUCCCUCCAGUUGUAUCACAAUUAUCAUGAAUCAUCAUAGUGGUUCCUUUGUCCUUGAGGAAUUUAUUUAAUUCAUAGACACUAUUACUUUGCUUUCAUGCAAAGUAUGUGAAUCAUGUAAUUCAUGUGAAUCAAGGUCUAGGAAAACAGAGGGAGUUUAUCACAUAAACAUAGAAAAGUUAUUUAUCUUACUUAACUUAUAAGAAAUGCAAAUUUUUUAAUCUUGAGAUUUCCAAGGCAGUUUUUAAAGUAUGCAUCAAAGAAGGCACACAGUUUAUACAAAUAUUUUCAUCCUCUUUGGUUUGUUAUAGUACCAAGGUAGUACAAAGGGUGAAUUACCUCUACACUUGUUUCAUGUCUGUCCCUCCUACUGAGGCAUUAAUAGAUGUGAUACCAUGAGUACUGCAUUGUUAAUACUCAGCUUCGUCUCUAGAGCUCAGAAAAUGCUCUUCUCAAAUUCAUACAGAACAUUCUUAUAUAGGUUAUGCUCUACCUACUGCAUUUGUAAUGAAAAAUAUGUAUCUACACCAAAAUCCUGCUUCUUCAGAAGGAAACAACAAAAUGAGCCUUCCAUAACAACAAAAAUUAAUUGCAACCAAUCUUGAAAUAUCUUGACAUGAAAUGUUGGAAAUUUCUUAGAAUAUCUGAACAUUUUAUUUGCUUGAAAUAUGUUUUUCAAGUAAAAGACAUAUGAUGAAAAAAAGACAUAUGAUGAUAUUUGUACCUAAAUAAUUCACUUAUGGAUACAUUUACUUGUAUCCUUAUUUGAAGAUAUAAUAUUAACAUUGAAAAUAGUAUGCAUGUAUAAUUUCACCAUAAAAAUUAGUGUAAUACCAUAUAGAGAAACAAAGAUUUCAUCCUUCCUUAGUGAAUCUGAAGAACUUCAAAACCAAAAAGAACUCUUCUGAUUUUUAAAAGUUAUAGUCAGCCAGGCACUGUGGCUCAUGCCUAUAAUCCUAGCACUUUGGGAGACCAAGGUGGGCAGAUGGCCUGAGCUCAGGAGUUUGAGACCACCAUGGACAACAUAGUGAAACCCCGUCUCUACUAAAAUACAAAAAAUUAGCCGGGUAUGGUGGCACGUGCCUGUAGUCUCAGUUACUCAAGAGGCUGAGGCACGAGAAUUGCUUGAACCUAGGAGAGAAUGAUAGGAAUUUGAAAGUUACUUUAUUUUUCUAGUUUAUAUUCCUUUAAAGACUACAUUCAGAAUUAAAGACGAGAAGCUCAAAGCAGACAGGAGGUGACUUUGUUUUAAUAGCUCGAUAGGUUGAAGAGAUAAAAAAGUAAAUCUACUUAUAAAAUAUAGAGAUUUAGUUUAUGCAAAAAUCAUGUGCAGCUUAUAAACUGUGUCUCAAUGAGAUCAUGCAAUGUCAUUUGACUGUUAGGAAUCUCUAAUCAGAAAUAAUCAUAUAAAUAGCCAAGAAACAAACAAACAAACAAAAACAAGGAAAAGUAAACAGUCUUGCUCAUCAAAAUAAUGGGUAAUGUAUAUGGAAGGAAAAAACAGCAGAAACAAAAUAUGGUCAGAAUAUAUAAAAAGAAAGAAUACUUCAGAACAAUAAAAUUUUAUUGAACAGGUUCUCGAAAUGGGGCACUUUGAAACUUUUAAGAACAUCCUUGUAGAUGUAUUAUUUCGGAUUUGGUUUUCCAAAUAUUUAACACAUUUCAUAUGCAAUUAAUUAUCUAUGAAGCUUUUUUAUCAAAGUUUUCACUCUAUUUAAAUAAUGUUAUCAGAACUUUAAAAAAUAUUUAGUGUACUACAACUCAAGCAUUGAUUUGUGCUGUUCUCAAUUUCCUAAAAAUCUCAACUCAUAUACAUCAAAAUCAUAAUCAUUUCAAAGUGACUAAAAACAUGGACAUAAUGAUAAGGUUUCACAAAUGACAGAAAGUUUUACUGUCUAACAAGACCACAGCAAGGUUUUUUAAGUGUAUGGGAGUUGAUUUAAGUCUCUGUAGAUAGCCAGUUUGGAUUGAGAAGGAAAACGUUCCAUCAAAAACUCAGCACACAAUCUUUUGAGAACAUUCUGCUUAUGAAGUCCUGUACUUGAUACUUUAGCACAUUCAAAAGUCUGAAGAGAGAAAAAAAUACAAAAAAAAUAAAAUAAAAUAAAUAAAUAACACAAAAGUCUGAAGAGAUUGUAGAAUAACAAGGCAAUUACAAGUGCCUAAGCAAAUGCUACUUAUGCUAAAUAGCAUAUGCCAUAAGGCCAAAAACAAAUUAAAAUUUAAUUAAAUGUAACAAUAUUAGUUUAUUAAUGCAUAAAAAUAAAUAUACUUGAAGACAAAUUUUAUUGAGUAGGAAUUAUCAGAAUAGUCUAGUUUGAAACUUUGAAAAGCAUCCUUUUAGAUUUAUUGUAUUAUUUUGGGUUUAGGUUUGUAAAUUUCAACACAUACCGUAUGUAUUUAAUUACCUAUUAAUCUAACUACCCCAUCCCCCAACCCCAUCAAGCAAUACUCAAUUUUACCCUUGUGGUAAUUCAUGAACAUGUGCAUCGAUUGUGGUCUGUUUAGUGUUGUGGUUUUUUGCAUUUUUGUCAUUUUUGUUACGGACAUGACUGUUUAAAAUGGCCCCCUACUGUAGUACUAAAGAGCUGUUUAGUGUUCCUAAGCACAAGAAAGCUAGCACCUCAUGGAGAUAUAUGUUAGAUAUGCUUCAUUCAGGCAUAAGUUAUAUACUACCGGUAGCCCUAAAUUCUAUGUUAAUGAAUCAACAAAAUAUUAAAUAUAGUGUUUUUAAGCAGAAAUACAAAUAAAACAAGGUUAGGUAUUGAUAUGUUGAUAAAAAUGUAAAAAAUGUGACCUGAGGCUCACAGGAACCUAAUCCUGCAUUUCUCCUAGGAGCAACGACUCCGUUUUAGCUACAUCAGUGUUCACAAUGACUUUAGAGAGCAUAACCACUAAUACUGAGAAUUGACUGUGUAUCUAUGUCUGUAUAUGUGUUUGUGUGUAUACACAGGUUCUUUUUUAAAAAAUAAAACAAAAUCCAGAAGUUAUCAAACUUGAAAACUACUUCAAAUUCUACUAUUUGGGAAAAUAUUAUAGGAGAAAAGCAGAAAUAACAUUGGAUUUUAAUUGUGCAUAAUAUUUUUAGCCAUUGAAAUUUCCAUAAGGAGUUUUAGCACAUGCAGUUAAUUUGCAUGAGAGACAGCUGGAGCAUAUUGGCUCUUUCAAAGCCACUAUGAUUUAUCAACUCAAUAAUGCAUGAGCUUAGACAAAGUUAUACAAGUGUCUGUAUUUUUAACAAGGUGAUAGAGUAAGAAAUUUGCUAAAGCAGCCAUUCCAGACCCAGGUGACUAAAAGAAGGUUAGAUCAUUUAUACAAACUGGAACACAAUUUUACAGUCCUGCUUUAUUUUUGGCCUUGGGUUUUUUUUCCUGAAAAUAAUAUUUUGUUUGGAAAAAGUGCCAAACUUAAAAACAGACAGUUUGGGACACAGAAGUCAUGUGUUCUUAUAAGCUAUUAUUACAAUAUGGAGAGAGUCAAAUUAAGAUCUCUACUAAAGUUACCUCUGGAAUUAGAUUCAACUUGCAGAGGCAGCCUCUAAAAAAAACUAAUUAUUUUUCUCUGUUUAUUCAAAGAAAUUGAAUGGUCUUUAUUUAAUAAACUCCAAAUGGCAAAAAUGGUUCAUAGGAAAUGUCUCUUUUUUAGAUUCAAGUCUCUUUUAUGGUCUUUGUCAGGAUUUGAGGAGAAUGAAGCUAGAUACAAUUAAGAAGUUAUUGUGUAAGAAGAAAAAGAAACAAACUUUUUUCUACCUUUAUCAUAAGGUUGUCACAGGGGGUGCCCAUGAUAUAAUUCUCCUGACAUCGUUGAAAUUAUUACUUGGUUUCUGUUUUUAAAAAAGAAGCUAUUGUUAUAGUAGACACAUAGGUUACAAAAGCUCUAUACAUGGACUUUGAAGUCAUGUAGCAACAUAGAAAAUAUAAAGCAAAUAGAAUUUAAAACAUUGUAAAUGAAAAGAUACUGUUAUGACUUAGUAUUCAAUGAUUACUGGGAUAAAAAGGAAAGAAAUUAUUUGAAGACUCAGUUUCUGUGCCUAGGUGACUAGAAGAAUAACUGUAUCUAUUUUUAGAACAAAUAGAAAAGUUUAAAUUUAACCAUUAUAACUAAUUUUGGGCAUCCAUUAGAACUCAUUUUGGGCAUUCACAUCUACAGGUCAUAAAUUUCAAUAUCCAACAUGCUAACUCUACAAGAUAUCAAAUGUCUAUCUUAUUCAGACUUCUACCAUGUCCCCGCUAAUGAGAUACAAGAAGAAGGAUAAUAAAGAAUAAAUUUCAUGAGAAUCAUUUGCAUCCAGUCAUCUUCCUUGCCAGAAUGUCUUGGACUGGUAGGUUGAAGCCAGGAAUUGGCCGACAGCAUCAAACAAUAAGUUUGCUGAUGUGAGGCCAAAAGUUCUAGUAAGCCUCCCACUGAAAAAGGCUACUGAAGUGUACAAAUAAAUCAAGUAUCAAGUUAUAAACUUACUUUGUGUCAGUUAGCCCAAUCUUACUUCAAAUGCCAAGUCAAGUGAGGACAGGGGAACCAGAAACGGUAUACUACACAGUAACCAGAGGAGUAACUGGAAAAACACCUCCUCCUCAAUAGUUAGGUUUGGAGAGGCAUCCAUACUGUCAGAGUUUAGAAUUAAGGUAUAUUACCUAUAACCAUGUACAAAUCCCUUAUUUUAUAGAUGAGAAAACUGAGAUUCAAUGUUGUACAUUUAAUCAGUGCAGAGGUGAAAAUAAGAACCAAGUCCUCAAACUCAUACAGUCUCAAAAUUGAACAAUCUCUUUAAGAGAUCAACCACUCUUGGCUGGGCGCAGUGGCUCACGCCUGUAAUCCUAGCACUUUGGGAGGCUGAGGUGGGCGUAUCACCUGAGGUCAAGAAAUCGAGAC
rnacentral:lncRNA from 1 species